CCGGAGUCUCCGGUCCCGGUCCCGCCUCCUCUCCUCCGCGCGCACGACCCCCGUCCUCCUCCCCGCCGCCGCGAUGGCCGCCCCGGCCCCCGCCGCCUCCUCGAAGAGGGACCUGCUCAUCUCUCCGCGAAGUUCGCCGCCGAGAGGGGCGCCUUCACCGUCGUGCUCUCCGGCGGAUCCCUCAUCUACGCCCUCAGGUCCCUGACGGAGGCGCCGUACCUGGAGACGGUUGACUGGAGCAAGUGGCAUGUGUUCUGGGUAGACGAGAGGGUCGUGCCCAAGGACCAUGAGGAUAGCAACUACAAGCUCGCCCUCGAUGGGUUCCUCUCCAAGGUACCAAUUCCUGCUGGUCAAGUGUAUGCUAUCAAUGAUGCCUUGUCUGCUGAGGGAGCAGCAGAGGACUAUGAAACUAUCUUGAAGCAACUUGUUAAGAAUGGCGUCCUUGCAAUGUCAAAGACAACUGGGUUUCCCAGGUUCGAUCUCCAGCUUCUUGGCAUGGGCCCGGACGGCCACAUCGCCUCUCUCUUCCCAGGCCAUCCUCUUGUUAAAGAGAACACAAAGUGGGUCACCCACAUCUUGGACUCUCCAAAGCCGCCGCCACAGAGAAUCACGUUCACGUUUCCGGUGAUCAACUCGUCCGCAUAUGUCGCCAUGGUGGUAACUGGGGCUGGGAAAGCCGGCGCAGUGCAGAAGGCGAUCUCGGACAAGAAGACUUCUGAUUUGCUCCCUGUUGAGAUGGCUAUACUUGAUGAUGGAGAAUUCACCUGGUUCACUGACAAGGAGGCGGUGUCGAUGCUGCAGAAC
rnacentral:rRNA from 1 species